GUCCACGAUCAUACAACGUAGAAUCCCCAGCAUCCCGGCAGAUCUGCGUAGCAAAGUAACGUUAAGCCGAGAAAGCACCAUGGCUGGAGACAACAUGGAAACCCUCGGUAGAGUAGACA
rnacentral:rRNA from 1 species